rnacentral:lncRNA from 1 species
GCUGCUGUUCAGACCAGCACCCUGCACAUGUGCAGACCAGCACCCUGCACAUGUGCAGACCAGGAUCCUGCACAGGUCUUGUGGAGCAGGGGAAAGGUGUGCAGAGGACCUGGAUUCAUUUCCAGCACUCACAUGGCUGCUCACAACUAUUCUUUUUUUUUUUUUUUCUUUUUUUCGGAGCUGGGGACCGAACCCAGGGCCUUCCGUUUGCUAGGCAAGCGCUCUACCACUGAGCUAAAUCCCCAACUGCUCACAACUAUUCUUAACUCCAGUUCCACAGCAUACUUGUGGCACACACACAUAUACGCAGCCAAAACACCCAUGUACAUACAAUACACAGACGCUGGGUUUGAUGGUACGUGCCUUAACCCUAGCAGUGGGGAGGCAGUGGUAAGGAGAUCUCUGGGAGUUUGAAGCCAGCUUGGUCUGCAGAGUGAGUUCUGGGACAGCCAGGGCUGCACAACAGAGAGGUUCUGAUUCAGAAACAAACAAA